GAUAUAGCUUGUUGAACUUCUUUGCAAUUUGAUUAAUACUGCUUAAAUGAUGUGACUGCAGCUCUGGACAAAAAAUUGGUUUUGCAUGAAGAUUCUAAAGAUGCAUCCUCCCAUAAAAAAGGAGGGUCACAAGAUGACAAGUCCCUGGUUGUUUGCUUUGGGGAAAUGCUAAUUGACUUUGUGCCCACCGUUGGUGGAGUUUCACUUGCUGAAGCACUUGCUUUUAAGAAAGCUCCUAGUGGUGCUCCUGCUAAUGUCGCUGUUGGAGUCGCAAGACUGGGUGGUUCAGCAGGUUUCAUAGGCAAGACAUGUAUUCGAACGAUGUUUUCUCUCAUAUCCCCUUGACACCGUUACAAGAUGUGAUAAAACCGACUCAUCUACCUUUGCCUUUUGGUCAAAGAGCUCUGUGGAUAUUGAGCCAAUGCGUAUUAGAUUGCAGUCAAAUAGUUACACUACCAACGCCUUUUUGGAUACAGUGACUGCUGCAACUAUACAGGUUGGAAAUUACUGAGAUGUAUAAACAUUGAUACUUGUUUUGAGAUGUAUAUGAUGCUUUUGUUCUAUGUGAAAAUUACUGAAGGUCGGCUGGAUUAAUCAUUUUGUUAUCAACGCCUGUUUGGCCUUCUUUCUUAUUUCGUUACUGCUGUUAUUAGGUCCCCGAUGAGGCAGUUACAAAAUGCACGGCCUGUGGGUGAGAUUUUGGGGCUUUAUAGAUCUCAGGGAGGCAGUAUAGAUCUUCUGUUGUUUAUGUAUUCAUUAGGCACUACAUGGAUGGUACUUUAUGACUUCCAUUGUUUAUGUAUUCAUUUGGAAACUCAAGUAUUUUUAAAUUAGGUUAUAAUAUUAUCAAGUAAUUUUUAGGUAGUUAUUAUAUUGUAGUAAA